rnacentral:rRNA from 1 species
CAAUAGCGUAUAUUUAAGUUGUUGCAGUUAAAAAGCUCGUAGUUGGAUUUCGGUUAAGAGCGACCGGUCCGCCGUUUGGUGUGCACUGGUUGGUUUUAACUUCCUGUAGAGGACGUGCUCUGGGUUUAACGACCUGGACUCGGAGUCUACGUGGUUACUUUGAAAAAAUUAGAGUGUUCAAAGCGGGCUUACGCUUGAAUAUUUCAGCAUGGAAUAACACUAUAGGACUCCUGUCCUAUUUCGUUGGUCUCGGGACGGGAGUAAUGAUUAAGAGGAGCAGUUGGGGGCAUUCGUAUUUCAUUGUCAGAGGUGAAAUUCUUGGAUUUAUGAAAGACGAACUUCUGCGAAAGCAUUUGCCAAGGAUGUUUNCAUUAA